rnacentral:rRNA from 1 species
GACGCACUCUCAGAGUUUGAUCCUGGCUCAGGACGAACGCUGGCGGCGCGCCUAACACAUGCAAGUCGAGCGGGGAUAUGUAAGGAGUAAUCCGAAUAUAUUCUAGCGGCGGACGGGUGAGUAACGCGUGAGUGACCUGCCUCUUACAGGGGGAUAACGUACCGAAAGGUACACUAAUACCGCAUAAGACCACAGAGCCGCAUGGCAGAGGGGUCAAAGGAGAAAUCCGGUAAGAGAUGGGCUCGCGUCCGAUUAGAUAGUUGGUGAGGUAACGGCCCACCAAGUCUGCGAUCGGUAGCCGACCUGAGAGGGUGAUCGGCCACAUUGGAACUGAGACACGGUCCAA